rnacentral:piRNA from 1 species
UGCUCUUCCAGAUGAUUCCUCCCCC